CACGUAGGGUGCGAGCGUUGUCCGGAAUUAUUGGGCGUAAAGAGCUCGUAGGCGGUGUGUCGCGUCGGCCGUGAAAACCUGCAGCUUAACUGUGGGCUUGCGGUCGAUACGGGCAUCACUGGAGUUCGGCAGGGGAGACUGGAAUUCCUGGUGUAGCGGUGAAAUGCGUAGAUAUCUGGAGGAAUACCGGUGGCGAAGGCGGCAUCCUGGACCAUAACUGACGCUGAGGCGCGAAAGCUAGGGGAGCAAACGGG
rnacentral:rRNA from 1 species